rnacentral:rRNA from 1 species
AACGAACGCUGGCGGCAUGCCUAACACAUGCAAGUCGAACGAAGUCUUCGGACUUAGUGGCGCACGGGUGCGUAACGCGUGGGAAUCUGCCCUUGGGUGCGGAAUAACUUCUCGAAAGGGAUGCUAAUACCGCAUAAUGUCGUAAGACCAAAGAUUUAUCGCCCAAGGAUGAGCCCGCGUAAGAUUAGCUAGUUGGUGGGGUAAAAGCCUACCAAGGCGACGAUCUUUAGCUGGUCUGAGAGGAUGAUCAGCCACACUGGGACUGAGACACGGCCCAGACUCCUACGGGAGGCAGCAGUGGGGAAUAUUGGACAAUGGGCGAAAGCCUGAUCCAGCAAUGCCGCGUGAGUGAUGAAGGCCCUAGGGUUGUAAAGCUCUUUUACCCGAGAUGAUAAUGACAGUAUCGGGAGAAUAAGCUCCGGACUAACUCCGUCGCCAGCAGCC